UACAGAGGAGGCAAGCGUUGUCCGGAUUGACUGGGCGUAAAGCGCACGCAGGCGGCUGCGCGCGUGGGGUGUGAAAUCUGGCCGCUUAACGGCCAGGCGCCAUCCCAUACGGCGCGUCUGGAGUGAUGCAGAGGUCGGUGGAAUUGCCGGUGUAGUGGUGAAAUGCGUAGAGAUCGGCAGGAACACCCAUGGGGAAACCAGCCGACUGGGCAUCUACUGACGCUGAGGUGCGAGAGCGUGGGGAGCGAACCGG
rnacentral:rRNA from 1 species